rnacentral:rRNA from 1 species
AACGUAGGACGCAAGCGUUAUCCGGAGUUACUGGGCGUAAAGCGCGGGCAGGCGGCUGUCUAAGUCUGAUGUGAAAGCGCCCGGCUUAACCGGGCGAGGCCAUUGGAAACUGGAGAGCUGGAGGGCAGUAGAGGCAGGCGGAAUUCCGGGUGUAGUGGUGAAAUGCGUAGAGAUCCGGAGGAACACCAGAGGCGAAGGCGGCACCCUGGCCUAAUACUGACACUGAGACGCGAAAGCAUGGGGAGCGAACGGG